AGAGUUGAUCAUGGCUCAGGAUGAACGCUGGCGGCGUGCCUAACACAUGCAAGUCGAGCGAGUUACUUCGGUAAAGAGCGGCGGACGGGUGAGUAACGCGUGGGUAACCUGCCUCAUACACAUGGAUAACAUACCGAAAGGUAUGCUAAUACAGGAUAAUAUAAGAGAUUCACAUGGAUUUCUUAUCAAAGCUCCGGCGGUAUGAGAUGGACCCGCGUCUGAUUAGCUAGUUGGUAAGGUAAUGGCUUACCAAGGCGACGAUCAGUAGCCGACCUGAGAGGGUGAUCGGCCACAUUGGAACUGAGACACGGUCCAAACUCCUACGGGAGGCAGCAGUGGGGAAUAUUGCACAAUGGGCGAAAGCCUGAUGCAGCAACGCCGCGUGAGUGAUGAAGGCCUUCGGGUCGUAAAACUCUGUCCUCAAGGAAGAUAAUGACGGUACUUGAGGAGGAAGCCCCGGCUAACUACGUGCCAGCCGCAGC
rnacentral:rRNA from 1 species